rnacentral:hammerhead_ribozyme from 1 species
GUCUGGCUGACGAGUCCCAAACAGAAUGAAGCGCUCGUCCUGGAC